AGCUUUGCACAGUAUCGCAGCCAAUGAGGUUUAUCUGAGGCGCGAUUAGUGCUAAUUGAAAACUUUUCCGAAUACCCCACCAUGACAACUUGAAAUAUAGUCAGCACUGGCAAUUUUUGACAGUCUCUAUGGAGA
ensembl:snRNA U4 U4 spliceosomal RNA